rnacentral:rRNA from 1 species
GACGAACCACCCAAACGUUAUUCGGAAUUACUGGGCUUAAAGGGUGCGUAGGCGGCGCGGAAAGUCAGGUGUGAAAUCCCUCGGCUCAACCGAGGAACUGCGCUUGAAACUACCGUGCUCGAGUGAGACAGAGGUAAGCGGAACUUCGGGUGGAGCGGUGAAAUGCGUUGAUAUCCGAAGGAACACCAGUGGCGAAAGCGGCUUACUGGGUCUUUUCUGACGCUGAUGCACGAAAGCUAGGGGAGCAAACAGG